rnacentral:rRNA from 1 species
UGUUGCGGUAAAAAGCUCGUAGUUGGAUUUCUGUUGAGGACGACCGGUCCAUACCACGUAUGCGCAUCUGGCUCGGCCUCGGCAUCCUCUCGAUAGACGUUUCUGCGCUUGAUUGCGUGGAGCGGAUCUCGGGACUUUUACUUUGAGGAAAUUAGAGUGUUCACGGCAGGCUAUCGCCAGAAUACAUUAGCAUGGAAUAAUACUAUAGGAUCUCGGUUCUAUUUUGUUGGUUUCUAGAAUUGAGAUAAUGAUUAAUAGGGACAAUUGGGGGCAUUCGUAUCAACACGUCAGAGGUGGAAUUCUUGGAUUGUGUUGCGACGAACUACUGCGAAAGCAUUUGCCAAGGAUGUUUUCAUUGAUCAAGAACGAAAGUAAGGGGAUCGAAGACGAUUAGAUACCGUCGUAUUUUUUACCAUAAACUAUGCCAACUAGAGAUCCGGCAUCGUUCACUUACGACUUGCUGGGCACCUUAUGGAUACUAAAGUCUUUGGGUUCCGGGGGGAGUAUGGUCGCAAGGCUGAAACUUAAAGGAAUUGACGGAAGGGCACCACCAGGAGUGGAGCCUGCGGCUUAAUUUGACUCAACACGGGGAAACUCACCAGGUCCAGACAUAAUAAGGAUUGACAGAUUGAUAGCUCUUUCUUGAUUUUAUGGGUGGUGGUGCAUGGCCGUUCUUAGUUCGUGGAGUGAUUUGUCUGCUUAAUUGCGUUAACGAACGAGACCUUAACCUGCUAAAUAGAAGCACCUAUCUUCGGAUAAGUGCCUUUCUUCUUAGAGGGACUUUAUGCGUUUCAGCAUGAGGAAGUUUGAGGCUAAAACAGGUCUGUGAUGCCCUUAGAUGUUCUGGGCUGCACGCGCGCUACACUGAUGCGUUCAACGAGUGUACAACCUUGCCCGAUAGGGUUGGGUAACCUUUUGAACACGCAUCGUGAUGGGGAUAGAUUAUU